rnacentral:rRNA from 1 species
UACGUAGGUGGCAAGCGUUGUCCGGAUUUACUGGGCGUAAAGAGCGCGUAGGCGGUCCGUUAAGUGUGAAGUGAAAUCUCCAGAGCUCAACUCGGAAACUGCUUCGCAUACUGGCGGACUUGAGGAAUGCAGAGGUGAAUAGAAUUCCUGGUGUAGCGGUGAAAUGCGUAGAUAUCAGGAGGAAUACCCAUGGCGAAGGCAGUUCACUGGGCAUUAUCUGACGCUGAGGCGCGAAAGCGUGGGGAGCAAACAGG